GCACUGCUGAGGAGUCCCACAAUAGGACGAAACCACCAUCCAGUGC
rfam:Schistosoma curassoni strain Dakar, Senegal genome assembly, scaffold: SCTD_scaffold0000047